AUUGAACGCUGGCGGCAUGCCUUACACAUGCAAGUCGAACGGCAGCACGGGAGCAAUCCUGGUGGCGAGUGGCGAACGGGUGAGUAAUAUAUCGGAACGUGCCCGGUCGUGGGGAUAACGUAGCGAAAGCUACGCUAAUACCGCAUACGAUCUACGGAUGAAAGCGGGGGAUCGCAAGACCUCGCGCGAUUGGAGCGGCCGAUAUCAGAUUAGGUAGUUGGUGAGGUAAAGGCUCACCAAGCCGACGAUCUGUAGCUGGUCUGAGAGGACGACCAGCCACACUGGGACUGAGACACGGCCCAGACUCCUACGGGAGGCAGCAGUGGGGAAUUUUGGGACAAUGGGCGCAAGCCUGAUCCAGCAAUGCCGCGUGCAGGAUGAAGGCCUCGGUGUAACUGCUUUGUACGUA
rnacentral:rRNA from 1 species